CAGUAGCCGCGGUAAUACGAAGGGGGCUAGCGUUGUUCGGAUUUACUGGGCGUAAAGCGCACGUAGGCGGAUCGAUCAGUCAGGGGUGAAAUCCCAGAGCUCAACUCUGGAACUGCCUUUGAUACUGUCGAUCUGGAGUAUGGAAGAGGUGAGUGGAAUUCCGAGUGUAGAGGUGAAAUUCGUAGAUAUUCGGAGGAACACCAGUGGCGAAGGCGGCUCACUGGUCCAUUACUGACGCUGAGGUGCGAAAGCGUGGGGAGCAAACAGGAUUAGAGACCCGAGUAGUCCCUGUCUCUUAUAC
rnacentral:rRNA from 1 species